GAAAUGCGAUAAGUAAUGUGAAUUGCAGAAUUCAGAGAAUCAUCGAAUCUUUGAACGUACCUUGCGCUCCUUGGUAUUCCUUGGAGCAUGCCUGUUUGAGUAUCAUGAAAUCUUCAAAGUAAAUCUUUUGUUAACUCAAUUGGUUUCUACUUUGGUAUUGGAGGUCUUUGCAGCUUCACACCUGCUCCUCUUUGUUCAUUAGCUGGAUCUCAGUGUUAUGCUUGGUUCCACUCGGCGUGAUAAGUUAUCUAUCGCUGAGGACACUGUAAAAGGUGGCCAAGGUAAAUGCAGAUGAACCGCUUCUAAUAGUCCAUUGACUUGGACAAUACUUUUAUGAUCUGAUCUCAAAUCAGGUAGGACUACCCGCUGAACUUAAGC
rnacentral:misc_RNA from 1 species